rnacentral:misc_RNA from 1 species
AAGGAGUCUAACAUAUGCGCAAGUCUUUGGGUGGCAAGCCCUUGGGCGCAAUGUAAGUGAAAUAGGUUUAGUUUUAUUACAACAACCGGGCCGGGACUAUGGGUUUUAAUCCUUGUUCUGAGUUUACAUUAGAGCGUACAUGUUGGGACCCGAAAGAUGGUGAACUAUGCUUGAGAAGUGCGAAGUCUGGGGAAACUCAGAUGGAGGCUCGCAUCGAUACUGACGUGCAAAUCGUUCGUCACACUUGGGUAUAGGGGCGAAAGACUAAUCGAACCAUCUAGUAGCUGGUUCCCUC